UUCCUCCAAAUUUCCCAUUUCUUGAUCUUUCUAGAGGUCAACUUUUAGUUUCUUGAAUCAUGUUUAAUUUAUUAUCAGAGGUUUUCACAAGCUUGGCUUGUGGCCACCCUUCCAUUAUCUCUGCUAUCUUUUUAUUUGUUUCCUAAAAUUUUUUGAUAUAGAACAGCAAGACAGGUCUGCAAGAGUUCUGUAAAGGCAUACCUCUAUUUUAGUUUCCUCUACCAGAUUUAGUCUUUAUUUUCCUUAACGAAUCCUUUACACGUUCAUAACAUUGGUGUAAAAAAUAGAUUCCAUGGGGACCAACACCAAAAAAGAAAAUGCCUCGCAUGCAGGAUCAAAGGCCAUGAUGGAAGGUCAACACAAAAAAUCCCUUUUUGCAUCUAUAGCCAAACCCCCAACAGAUAGUGCUAGACCAAGCAGUAUGGUUGUGAAGAGAGCACAUACCGUAAUUCCUGCACAUAUUGUAGCAG
rnacentral:misc_RNA from 1 species